GGGCUGGGCUGGUGGAUGAGCGGGCAAGGGGGCCGCUGCUGGCCAUUCCAGAGGCUCUAUCCACGUCUCCCAUUGCCACUACCACACCCGCCUUAUUAAUGGCGUUGAGGGAACCGCACAGAAGCUGCCCGGCGGCAUAUCCUCUGGCUGCACCUGCGUAUCCAAAGCUACACCCCGGCCUUUCCCCACACACUUCGGAGCCUCUGUAGAGCUAGAAGGUGCAAGCUGCCCCGUCUCGAACGUGCAGCGCCGUCCCUCACCCCCUCAACCACCUGUCUCCGCUUCCCUCCCCCGAAGCCUCUCCAAGUCGCCGCACCCCUGCGCAGCAGCACCGUGUUCGCCGCCUACUGGGAAGUCGAGUCGUGGGGCGCAGUUCAGGUUUGUGCGCCCCGGACUGCGGCCCCUCAGGCCUGCGCCGUCCAGGCCACUGUCCGCGCCCUCCUGCUGCGAGGCGGCAGCGGAGGGUAGGCGCGGCCGGGCCGAGCAAGCAGGGGUCCCGCGCGGCCGCCUUGGCUCAUCCCGUGCCGUAGCUCCUACCUGAGCGGCCGCCUGCUUCCGGCGCUGCACAGUAACCGCGGCCCCGAGGCGCGGCGACUCGCGGAGGCGCAACGCUGCAGACUCGGUUUCGAGAGCUCCGCCCGCUCUUCCCACGCUCCGCGCCCGCGCCGCGCCACCCUGAGGCCAAGUCCGGCGCUGCGCCUGCUGGGAACGCGGUCGCCGCCGCCCAUCUGUGCGAACUGCAGCAGAGGACCUGACCAACAGGGUCCUGGCCAGCAGGCCUGCCCUAAGCCGAGGGCUAAAUCAGAGAUGACCAGUUCUUCACUAGUCCUGGUUCCUCUGACCUUUUCUUCCAGAGUUUCUCUCUCGCGACACCUCUUAAAAGAUCAAGAUGUAGAACUCUCAGUUCCCUCUCCAGCACCGUGCCUGCCUGCAUGAUGCCAUGUGUCUGAUCAUGAUGAUAAUGGACCAACCCUCUGAACUGCUGAAAGCUGUUGGUUGCCACAAGCUCAAGGCCAACGUCAGAUUGUGUUCACCAUCCCUAUGUAUCCAGUUCUCUCCUCUGAAGACGACAUCCUUACUGCCAUUCUGUGACUGGGACAGCCAAUAAACCAUCCCAUAUAUGAGAAACACUUUGCCCUAAACAUUUUAAGAAAGGCAACUCCAGUAGACAGGGGAUAGAUCCAAGUAUUCCCAAAGGGAAAUGGUGCCUCUGAAAAACCAGAGAACUCUCUCUGAGAAUCUUCCCAAAAUGCAAAACCCAAAGCACAGAUCAGACUUCUCACUGGACUCCACCCUCUCCUCCCUACAUCCUCCUGUCUAGCCUUUCCAGCAAUAAAAGUACAUAUUUCAUGUU